UACGGAGGGUGCAAGCGUUAUCCGGAUUCACUGGGUUUAAAGGGUGCGUAGGCGGAUAGGUAAGUCCGUGGUGAAAUCCUGCAGCUUAACUGCAGAACUGCCGUGGAUACUAUCUAUCUUGAAUGUCGUGGAGGUUAGCGGAAUAUGUCAUGUAGCGGUGAAAUGCUUAGAUAUGACAUAGAACACCCAUUGCGAAGGCAGCUAACUACGCGAUAAUUGACGCUGAUGCACGAAAGCGUGGGGGAUCAAACAGG
rnacentral:rRNA from 1 species